rnacentral:rRNA from 1 species
GUGGGGAAUCUUGCGCAAUGGGCGAAAGCCUGACGCAGCCAUGCCGCGUGAAUGAUGAAGGUCUUAGGAUUGUAAAAUUCUUUCACCGGGGACGAUAAUGACGGUACCCGGAGAAGAAGCCCCGGCUAACUUCGUGCCAGCAGCCGCGGUAAUACGAAGGGGGCUAGCGUUGCUCGGAAUUACUGGGCGUAAAGGGCGCGUAGGCGGACAGUUUAGUCAGAGGUGAAAGCCCAGGGCUCAACCUUGGAAUUGCCUUUGAUGCUGGCUGUCUUGAGUACGGGAGAGGUGAGUGGAACUCCGAGUGUAGAGGUGAAAUUCGUAGAUAUUCGGAAGAACACCAGUGGCGAAGGCGACUCACUGGCCCGUUACUGACGCUGAGGCGCGAAAGCGUGGGGAGCAAACAGGAUUAGAUACCCGUGUAGUCC